GCCUUCAUAGCUCAGUGGCUAGAGCACUGGUCUUGUAAACCAGGGGUCGGGAGUUCGAUCCUCCCUGAGGGCU
rnacentral:tRNA from 1 species